rnacentral:rRNA from 1 species
CUACGGGGUGCACCAGUGAGGAAUAUUGCACAAUGGGGGGAACCCUGAUACAGCAACGCCGCGUGGAGGAUGACGCAUUUCGGUGUGUAAACUCCUUUUAUAUGUCAAGAAAAUGACGGUAGCAUAUGAAUAAGCACCGGCUAACUCCGUGCCAGCAGCCGCGGUAAUACGGAGGGUGCAAGCGUUACUCGGAAUCACUGGGCGUAAAGGACGCGUAGGCGGGUUGGAAAGUCAGGUGUGAAAUCCUACAGCUUAACUGUAGAACUGCACUUGAAACUUCUAAUCUAGAGUAUGGGAGGGGGGGAUGGAAUUAGUGGUGUAGGGGUAAAAUCCGUAGAUAUCACUAGGAAUACCUAAAGCGAAGGCGAUCUCCUGGAACAUUACUGACGCUAAGGCGUGAAAGCGUGGGAGCAAACAGGAUUAGAUACCCUUGUAGUC